CGCCAGGGAAUUACGAGCUUUAGCUUAAAACCCAAAGGACUUGACGGUGCCCCACCCAGCUAGAGGAGCCUGUUCUAUAAUCGAUGAUCCCCGCUUAACCUAACCCUUUCUUGCUUUAUCAGCCUGUAUACCUCCGUCGUAAACCCGCCAUAUGAAUGUUUUAGCGGAUUCAAUGGCCUUAGCCACCAGCACGUCAGGUCAAGGUGCAGCCAAUGAAAGGGCAAGCAAUGGGCUACAAUUUCUAAUCUAGAACAUACGAACUACUGCAUGAAACACAGUCAUGAAGGAGGAUUUAGUAGUAAAAAGAAAUCAGCGAGUUCUUUUUAACAUGGCCCUGGGGCGUGUACACACCGCCCGUCACCCUCUUCGAAGGCUUUUUAUUGAUACUUAACCCACCCCCAACCAAAAGAAGAGGCAAGUCGUAACAUGGUAAGUGUACCGGAAGGUGCACUUGGAAUA
rnacentral:rRNA from 1 species